rnacentral:tmRNA from 1 species
GGGGGCGACAUGGUUUCGACGCGGGUUACGAAACCCGAGGUGCAUGCCGAGGUGCAGAUCUCCUCGUAAAUCCAGCUGCAAACCUUAUAGUUGCCAACGACGACAACUACGCACUCGCCGCUUAAAACCCGGUAGGGUGCCGUCUGACCGGAGCCGUGCUUGUGCGUCCGUCAUCAGGCGUCGAUUCUCACAAGCUCGCGGUGAAGCGUUCCCGGCGCGGAUCCGUUAAAACCUUUUCGGGAUCGCCCAGAGUUUUCCCUGCCCGUCGGGUAGCCCUGGGUUAAAUCAAUAGACGCGGAUAAGCAUGUAGAGCCGAAGGCGGAGGGCCUGCGGACGCCGGUUCGAUUCCGGCCGCCUCCACCA